CCCCCCCGCACCGCCCAGGGCUCCGGUUGACCUGCCCCUGCGGGAGUUGAAGAUGGCCCCCUCAACACCCCGACGAGGAAUACAGGCUCUCAGAAAGCAGCAGCUUGUCCGUAGAGGAGCCUCAUCUCCUGGAGAGGCCCCCGAUGUGGCUGGGCUUGUCCCAUGAGCAGGAGGGUGAGGGUCACUGAAUCCCGGCUGAGCCUGUCUUCUCUCGGAUGGCUAAAAAGAAGCCAGAAUCACUUCUCAUGGUAACACUCAAGAAACAGGCUCAGAGAGGUGGAUUGAUUUCCCCAAAGACUGCUCUUCCGCCCAGACCUUCAUUUUCCCUCCCCUCCCUACAGACACCCGGCCCAUGUGCAGUCUCUAGCUGUAUAAGCCCUGAGGGGUACUAAUAGGGGCUGGGUGGUCCCUCUUUGAAGAUGCUUUGCUGCCUGUCUUUGAAGGAUGCUUCUCUAACAUGAAUACCUUCUGGACAGGCGCCAGCCCACUGUACGGAUUGGUGAUUACAAGCCAGGGUGUGGGGUUGGACUGCACUGAGUUCAAAUCUAGUGUCCUUAUUUUGAGGUGAUUGAUCUUUCUAUACUUAAUUAACCUAACUGCAAAUAGGGGUGGUAAUAAUGCGAUAGACCCCAAAGGGACCCCCCAGGAGGAUCUUGCUCAAGGACGAUCUGUACAUACUUAAGGGCAGUGGAAUCCCAUGGCCACAGGAUUCAGGUUGACUUCUCAGCAAACUGACUGCCGUGUUGGGCUCACCAGACUUGUUCCUGCUGGAGGCUUCUCUGGCUCCACCAUUACUCAUCACAAAAACAAAUGACCCAAGACCUCAAGCAGGCUACCUGCUCAGCCAGGAGCUGUACUAUCACCCCUCAACCCCACAGGGGCGGAUAUGAGUGAUAGAACCCUUCCCCUUUUACAGAUGGGCAGACUGAGGCCAAGGAAGGCCAGACAACUUACUGCUAACGAGGUCAGGGCUGAUUCUUAAUGAUGGCUGGGUCCCAAAGCCAGGGCUGUGGGCUUCAGGAAUACAUAGUCCUUCCCUCUCUCACUCAGCCAGCAGUCCUAGACUUUUCCAGAAGGGCCACAGGCCUCCUGUACCAUUGACAGAACAGGGUGCCUGCUCUCAUGGCCAGGCUUAUGGAGCAGCUUCUGAAUUCAGGAGGGACUUGUAUGUGUUGGGGGGGUAUGGACCUCAGAGCACCAUUGUAGCUUGCAUGUGAAGGUGGAGAUCUAUAUGAGGAAGGCUUUCUCAGCCUGAAGUGUCCCAUUGGGUGCCUUGGGCACAGCACAUUUUUGUGUGAGCCAUGUUGGAACAUAAAAGAACCUUUCUGGGCAGCAUCUGGGGUCAGGUGGCCCUGGACACAGGAAGGUGGCCAGUGUGGGCACCAUCAGGGUCUCCUCAAACCAUCUGCAGCAGUGCCCCCCCCCAGGGCCUGGCAUGGGAGGAGUUAAGCCGCAGUGGGCACCUUGGCACGUAGCGCUGGCCAGAAUGUCCGGCUCCCCACCCCCACCGCUUUUCUUCCUUUUUGCCUUUUUCCUUCUUAAUUAAUCAUACGCUGCUGCCCAAUUUAAAUAUGGAAAUACCCAGGCUGAGGCUCUGCAAUUAUUCAUGAAGCCAGGCCUGCUGUCCAGGCUCUCGGGCUGCGGGGAGCAUCGUGGCUUCGCCUCCUUUCUGUGAAAUUAUGUGCACAAAGGCGGCUUCUUAUCUGGGUGUGUGAACUAAAUAAAUAAAUAAGGGCUUUUGUUUGUUUGCGGGCUCCUG